rnacentral:ncRNA from 13 species
CCAGCCAUAGCUCAGUUGGUAGAGCGGAGGACUGUAGACAUCCUUAGGUCGCUGGUUCGAAUCCGGCUGGCUGGA